CUAAGAAUAUUCCGCAAUGGACGAAAGUCUGACGGAGCGACGCCGCGUGGAUGAAGAAGGCCGCAAGGUUGUAAAAUCCUUUUGCUGGGGAAGAAUAAGUCUGGGAGGGAAUGCCCGGAUGAUGACAUGAACCGGCGAAUAAGCCCCGGCCAACUACGUGCCAGCAGCCGCGGUAACACGUAGGGGGCGAGCGUUGUUCGGAAUUACUGGGCGUAAAGGGCAUGUAGGCGGUUUUGUAAGCUUGGCGUGAAAGACCACGGCUCAACCGUGGGGUUGCGUUGAGAACUGCGAAGCUUGAGUUAUGGAGAGGGAGCUAGAAUUCCUGGUGUAGGGGUGGAAUCUGUAGAGAUCAGGAAGAAUGCCAAUGGCGAAGGCAAGCUCCUGGCCGAUGACUGACGCUGAGGUGCGAAAGUGUGGGGAUCAAACA
rnacentral:rRNA from 1 species